ACUGGAAGUUUGUACCUUUUAAUUCCCUUCACCUAUUUUGUCUGUCCCUCUCCCCUUGUCAGGUUUUGAUAUUACAUAUACACACAACAAGUUGGAUAGUGAUCCUGUCUUCUUUAUGUCUUGAAAAAAAUUGUGUAAGGUUUGUGUUACUUCUUCCUUGAAUGUUGAUAGAAUUCACUAGUGAAACUGUCUGGAAUUGAAGUUUUUUCUUUGAGAAACUUUUUAUGACAAAUUCAAAAAUUUUAAAGAUAUAGGGCUAUUAAGUUUCUAUUUCUACUUGUGUCAAUUUUGGUUAAGUUGGUUUUUUAAGAAAUAAGUGUAUUUCAUUCAGGUGUCAAAUUUGUUGCUAUGAAGUUAUUCAUAGUUUUCUCUCAUUAUCCUUUUCAUAUCUGUGGGAUCUGUGAUGAUAACUCCCCUAUUCACCCCUGAUACUGGCAAUUUGUUUUUUCUUGAAGAACUUGGAAGAUACAGCUUUACCUGAAAGUCUUGGAUGGCUCUUCUUCAAGAAGCAACCAGGGCUACGGAGAAUGAUUUCUGGAGGGCAGGUCUCCCUCUGAAUUACAAACUGGUGAACCUAGAAGGGAAACUUCCUGCUACAAUAACACAGCAAGGCGAUGUGAUGAACACUUUUAUUUACAAAUAUAAUUAAAAGCUCUGACAGUUA